UGUCCCAGCAGCCGCGGUAAUACGGAGGAUGCGAGCGUUAUCCGGAUUUAUUGGGUUUAAAGGGUGCGUAGGCGGUCUGAUAAGUCAGUGGUGAAAGUUUUCAGCUUAACUGGAAAAAUGCUGUUGAUACUGUCAGGCUAGAAUAUGGUUGCUGUGAGUGGAAUGUGUGGUGUAGCGGUGAAAUGCUUAGAUAUCACACAGAAUAUCGAUUGCGAAGGCAGCUCACAAAGCCAUUAUUGACGCUGAGGCACGAAAGUGUGGGGAUCAAACAGGAUUAGAUACCCUGGUAGUCCACACUGUAAACGAUGAUAACUAGUUGUUGGCGAUACACAGUCAGUGACCAAGCGAAAGCGAUAAGUUAUCCACCUGGGGAGUACGACCGCAAGGUUGAAACUCAAAGGAAUUGACGGGGGCCCGCACAAGCGGAGGAACAUGUGGUUUAAUUCGAUGAUACGCGAGGAACCUUACCCGGGCUCGAACGGUGCAGGAAUAUGGUAGAGAUAUCAUAGCUAGCAAUAGUCUGUAUCGAGGUGCUGCAUGGUUGUCGUCAGCUCGUGCCGUGAGGUGUCGGCUUAAGUGCCAUAACGAGCGCAACCCUUGUUGUUAGUUGCCAUCAGGUCAAGCUGGGAACUCUAACGAGACUGCCACCGUAAGGUGUGAGGAAGGGGGGGAUGACGUCAAAUCAGCACGGCCCUUACGUCCGGGGCGACACACGUGUUACAAUGGUAGGUACAGAGGGCCGCUAACCAGCGAUGGUGUGCAAAUCUCAAAAACCUAUCUCAGUUCGGAUCGGAGUCUGCAACUCGACUCCGUGAAGUUGGAUUCGCUAGUAAUCGCGCAUCAGCCAUGGCG
rnacentral:rRNA from 1 species